rnacentral:rRNA from 1 species
GACGUAGGAGGCGAGCGUUGUCCGGAUUCAUUGGGCGUAAAGAGCACGCAGGCGGUUUGGCAAGUCGGAUGUGAAUACCCGAAGCUCAACUUCGGGCCUGCAUCCGAAACUGCCCGACUAGAGGUAGGUAGGGGAGAUCGGAAUUCCUGGUGUAGCGGUGAAAUGCGCAGACAUCAGGAGGAACACCGGUGGCGAAGGCGGAUCUCUGGGCCUUACCUGACGCUCAGGUGCGAAAGCUAGGGGAGCGAACAGG